UACCUGCGGAGGGAUCAUUACUGAGUGAGGGCCUUCGGGCUCGACCUCCAACCCUUUGUGAACACAACUUGUUGCUUCGGGGGCGACCCUGCCGUUUCGACGGCGAGCGCCCCCGGAGGCCUUCAAACACUGCAUCUUUGCGUCGGAGUUUAAGUAAAUUUAAACAAAACUUUCAACAACGGAUCUCUUGGUUCUGGCAUCGAUGAAGAACGCAGCGAAAUGCGAUAAGUAAUGUGAAUUGCAGAAUUCAGUGAAUCAUCGAAUCUUUGAACGCACAUUGCGCCCUCUGGUAUUCCGGAGGGCAUGCCUGUUCGAGCGUCAUUUCACCACUCAAGCCUGGCUUGGUAUUGGGCGCCGCGGUGUUCCGCGCGCCUCAAAGUCUCCGGCUGAGCUGUCCGUCUCCAAGCGUUGUGAUUUCAUUAAUCGCUUCGGGGUGCGGGCGGCCGCGGCCGUUAAAUCUUUCACAAGGUUGACCUCGGAUCAGGUAGGGAUACCCGCUGAACUUAAGCAUAUCAAUAA
rnacentral:rRNA from 1 species